rnacentral:rRNA from 1 species
GACGAACGCUGGCGGCGUGCUUAACACAUGCAAGUCGAGCGGUAAGGCCCUUUCGGGGGUACACGAGCGGCGAACGGGUGAGUAACACGUGGGUGACCUGCCCUCAGCUCUGGGAUAAGCCUGGGAAACUGGGUCUAAUACUGGAUAUGACUCCACGGUGCAUGUCGUGGGGUGAAAGCCUUGUGCGGCUGAGGAUGGGCCCGCGGCCUAUCAGCUUGUUGGUGGGGUGAGGCCUACCAAGGCGACGACGGGUAGCCGGCCUGAGAGGGCGACCGGCCACACUGGGACUGAGACACGGCCAGACUCCUACGGGAGGCAGCAGUGGGGAAUCUUGCGCAAUGGGCGAAAGCCUGACGCAGCGACGCCGCGUGA